GGGGCCUUAGCUCAGAUGGGAGAGCGCCUGCCUUGCACGCAGGAGGUCACCGGUUCGAUCCCGGUAGGCUCCA
rfam:Haloplasma contractile SSD-17B Contig27, whole genome shotgun sequence.